GAGUUUGAUUAUGGCUCAGGAUGAACGCUGGCGGCAUGCUUUACACAUGCAAGUUGAACGAAUUAAAGUUUUCGAAUUUUAGUUAAGCAGCGAACGGGUGAGUAAAACGUAAGAAUCUAUUUUUAGGUGAGGAAUAACUAAUGGAAACGUUAGCUAAUACCUUAUAAACUGAGAAGUGAAAAACCAAAGAUUGCCUAAAAGUGAGCUUGCGCCUGAUUAGCUUGUUGGUAAGAUAAUCGCUUACCAAAGCGACGAUCAGUAGUUGAUCUAAGAGGAUAAUCAACCACACUGGGACUGAGAUACGGCCCAGACCUCUACGGAGGGCAGCAGUGAGGAAUUUUCCGCAAUGGGCGAAAGCCUGACGGAGCAAUGCCGCGUGAAGGAUGAAGGCCUAUGGGUCGUAAACUUCUUUUCUUAAUGAAGAAAUAAGACGGUAAUUAAGGAAUAAGCAUCGGCUAACUCCGUGCCAGCAGCCGCGGUAAUACGGAGGAUGCAAGCGUUAUCCGGAAUUAUUGGGCGUAAAGGGUUUGUAGGCUACCUUUUAAGUCUGCUGUUAAAGAAUAAGACUUAACCUUAGAAAAGCAGUAUGAAACUAAAAGGAUAGAGUUCAGUAGGGGUAGAGGGAAUUCUCGGUGUAGUAGUGAAAUGCGUAGAUAUCGAGAGGAACACCAAUAGCGAAAGCACUCUACUAGGCUGUAACUGACGCUAAGAAACGAAAGCUAGGGGAGCCAAUGGGAUUAGAUACCCCAGUAGUCCUAGCUGUAAACGAUGGAUACUAAGUAUUGGAUAAUAAAAAAUUCAGUGCUGUAGCUAACGCGUUAAGUAUCCCGCCUGGGGAGUAUGCCCGCAAGGGUGAAACUCAAAGGAAUUGACGGGGGCCCGCACAAGCGGUGGAGCAUGUGGUUUAAUUCGAUGCACGCGAAAAACCUUACCAGGAUUUGACAUCCCAUAUUUUUUCUCU
rnacentral:rRNA from 1 species